rnacentral:misc_RNA from 1 species
GGAAGAUAGAAAUUUAAAGCCAUGAAGUUACCACACAUACUAGUUUUACAAGCAUUUGGACUAAUUAAAUUCCAAGUCCAACACUAGUGACUACUGAACAAACUCUUGAGCUCUCAAUUGCACUAUUGAAUUUGAGGCCACUUGACCCUUCUAAAGUGAAAAUGCUAUACUGCCAAGCUUCACUACUUUUAUCACUCUUAAUUCUUUCAAUAUGGUUAUGGCACAUCCAGAUCAAACUAAGUUCAUCAGAAACAUAAAAUUUUUGCCCCAAGUGCACAUAUAUUUCCCUGUUUGAGUCGCGAUGCGUCGCGAGUUUGUGCCAUAGAUUGUGGCAAAGCACUUCACCACAAAUAUGAACAUCAACAAG